rnacentral:rRNA from 1 species
AGUGAACGCCGGCGGUAGGCCUAACACAUGCAAGUCGAACGGCAGCACAGUAAGAGCUUGCUCUUACGGGUGGCGAGUGGCGGACGGGUGAGGAAUACAUCGGAAUCUACUUUUUCGUGGGGGAUAACGUAGGGAAACUUACGCUAAUACCGCAUACGACCUACGGGUGAAAGCAGGGGAUCUUCGGACCUUGCGCGAUUGAAUGAGCCGAUGUCGGAUUAGCUAGUUGGCGGGGUAAAGGCCCACCAAGGCGACGAUCCGUAGCUGGUCUGAGAGGAUGGUCAGCCACACUAGAGCUGAGACACGGUCCAGACUCCUACGGGAGGCAGCAGUGGGGAAUAUUAGACAAUGGGCGCAAGCCUGAUCCAGCCAUACCGCGUGUGUGAAGAAGGCCUUCGGGUUGUAAAGCCCUUUUGUUGGGAAAGAAAAGCAGCAGGUUAAUACCCCGCUGUUCUGACGGUACCCAAAGAAUAAGCACCGGCUAACUUCGUG